UAGCUAAAUGCGGAAGAGAUAAGUGCUGAAAGCAUCUAAGCACGAAACUUGCCCCGAGAUGAGUUCUCCCUGAGACUUUAAGUCUCCUGAAGGAACGUUGAAGACGACGACGUUGAUAGGCCGGGUGUGUAAGCGCAGCGAUGCGUUGAGCUAACCGGUACUAAUGAACCGUGAGGCUUAACCUU
rnacentral:rRNA from 4 species